rnacentral:miRNA from 1 species
AUCUCUCUCUCUCUCUCUCUCUCUCUCUCUCUCUAUAUAUAUAUAUAUAUAUAUAUAUAUGUGUGUGUGUGUGUGUGUGUGUGUGUGUGGAGAGAGAGAGAGAGAGAGAGAGAGAGAGAU